rnacentral:lncRNA from 1 species
CAUGAUACUGUUAUCACCUCUAAAGAAUAACAGUUGUUUAGGAGGCUCCUAGUCUGAUUCUUUAACCACUACACCACGAUGGGAACUCCUGAUGAGUGGCUUUAAAAGAACACUUUAUUUGAAUUAGAAGUCAAACAAGAUUGAGGAGUUCCCAUCAGCAGCAGCUCGGAUUUGAUCCUUGGUCAGGGAAUGUCCGUAUGCCACAGGUACCGCCGGAAAAAAGAAAAAGAGAAAAUAUUCCUUAUCUACUAUUUGGUAACCCAGCGGUAUAGUCCAAUAAGAAAGGCAGGAUAAAUGUUUGAAUAUUUUCCCUUAUCAAUUUUCAAAAUAAUGAUUGGGCUUCCUAGCAUUCUCUAAUGGUGAUCAGUGAGUUUUUGUUUGCUUUUUAGUGUCAUGAUAAACUUAGGACUAUUUGGUAUGUUUCAAUCCAUUAUAGUUAUUCUUCCCGAUGCUCUCAGUGCCCAUCUUUGGUCAGUAGAAGCCUCUCUGCUUGGCUUCUGGGCGCCUCCUGGGUGUAGGGUGUAGUGACAUUUCAUCUCAUACAGUGUUUAGAGCUUUUAAUGACCUGUUGUCAGUCUUUUAGUGACCUGAAAUCAGGGCCCAAAGUGGCCUUUUCUAGGGAUGUGUUAUCAGACAAUAAGUGGAGGAAGGACAGGUCGGUUUGUUAGAGACUUGCAGGUCCCCCUCCCCUGUAAGUUCUGCAGUUUCCCACCACAGUUCUACACAGCGGUGCACAGACACUAAACUCACUGAGUAAAUGGUGACCAAAGAAAUCUCUAUUGCAAAUCAAAUCAAAACUCCUAUGAGGCACCACCUUACCUCAACCAGAAUGGCCAUCAUCAAAAAGUCUACAAACAAUAAAUGCUGGAGAAGGUGUGGAGAAUAGGGAACCCUCUUACUUAAACAGUUGGUGGGAAUGCAAAUUGGGGCAGCCACUAUGGAAAACAGCAGUGAGGUUCCUCAAAAAACUAAAAAUAGAAUCACCAUACCAUCCAGCAAUCCCACUCCUGGGCAUCUCUCCAGAGGAAGCCAUGACUCAAAAAGAUAUAUGCACCCCAAUGUUCAUUGCAGCACUAUAUACGAUAGCCAAAAUGUGGAGGCAACCUAAAUGUCCAACAGAGGAGUGGAUAAAGAAGGUGUGGUACAUAUACACAACAGAAUAUUACUCAGCCAUGAAAAAGAAUGAAAUAAUGGAAUUUGCAGCAACAUAGAUGGGCCUAGAAAUUAUCAUACUAAGUGAAGUUAGAUAGUGAGAAACAAACAUAUGCUAUCACCUAUAUGUAGAAUCUUAAAGGAUGCAAUGAAUUUAUCUGCAGAACAGAAACAGACUUACAGACCUUGAAAAACUUAUGGUUACCAAACGGAACAGGUUGGGAGGGAGGGAUGGGCUGGGGGUUUGGGAUGGAAAUGUUCUAACAUUAGGUUGUGAUGAUGGUUGUACAUCUACAAAUACAAUAAAAUUCAUUAAGUUAAAAAAUUUUAGGGCAGUUGAUGAGCAACCUAGAGUUCCUAAUCUAGAAGUUAAAAUUGGAGAAUGCAGCUGGACCCUGAGGCCAAAAAGUGUGGGCCUGUUUUUCAGAUCAAAGCAGGUCUUGUCUAUUUGGAAAGCCGUGUGCAAAGAGCCUCUGAAUCAGCUGUUCUGAUCAGUGUGUUAAGUGACUUGUACAUCCCAGAGGCCAAAGGGUUUAUUGGUUGCCUUAAUUUCCUGUUUGUUGGUAGACCAAAAAAAAAAAAAAAAAAAAAAAAAAAAAA